UCGAUCUCAAAUCAGGUAGGAUUACCCGCUGAACUUAAGCAUAUCAAUAAGCGGAGGAAAAGAAACUAACAAGGAUUCCCCUAGUAACUGCGAGUGAAGCGGGAAGAGCUCAAAUUUAAAAUCUGGCGUGCCUCUGGUCGUCCGAGUUGUAGUCUGAAGAAGCGCUUUCCGUGUUGGACCGUGUAUAAGUCUCUUGGAACAGGGCGUCAUAGAGGGUGAGAAUCCCGUCUUUGACACGGACUACCAAUGCUUUGUGAUGCGCUCUCAAAGAGUCGAGUUGUUUGGGAAUGCAGCUCAAAAUGGGUGGUAAAUUCCAUCUAAAGCUAAAUAU
rnacentral:rRNA from 1 species